rnacentral:rRNA from 1 species
AUGCCUGUGUUUUCAGUAGACUGCUGGUGUAUCCUGUCAUUCUGUGUAUGUUGCAAACGGGAAACUAGAAGAUUUUUUGAUGGGAUUGCCCGCUUACCUUCCAUGGGGGCUUCAGUUGGAUUGCUGAUGUUGCCACUAGAUUUAUUUGUGCAAAGAAAUCUGGAACACAGAAGAUGGCAAUUGCAUGUUGUGCACGGACUAAUUGGCUGGUCAUUCUGGGGGUAUAUGCUACUGUUUUUAAGGUACACUCAGUGUUUAUUAGCAUCGAGUUACAUGGUAGACAUGACAGGAGAAAUAAAUUGA